rnacentral:lncRNA from 1 species
CUAGCCGAAAUAAAUAAUAAAAUCAGAACUUUCAGGCAGUGAAUGCGAUUUCUUCAGCCCUUAUUCGUCAUGAAUUGACGCCUUUGCGCACCCGUGCCUUGGGAACAAUAUCACAUUUAUUGCCGUGACGGACCGCCUCAUGGCUCUAUAUAAUGUGUUGUGUUGCAAAGGGGGAUUCGACUAGAAGUCACACGAAGUCCAAAUAUAAUCAUCGCAGAGAUGAAACAGUCAAGUUGGCAGAAACCACUUCUCUUCGUUACGACUUCGCUACUCUUGCCAAUCUUCUACGACCAUACGCUAAUGACGUCUCUGCAACAGUUUCGGACAGUUGUUGGUGUCGCUGCGGAUUCUAAAUGGAUAACAUU